AUUUGGUGAUAUCACAGCGAUAUUAUACACAAGGAAGGUAAUGCUUAGAAAACAUUACAGUAUCGAUUGUCGUGCGAUAAUUUUCGGGGUGGACCUACGGAUAUUCUUAUCACAGUUUUCCUGAACACAAUAUCCAUUUUAAAUACGCGCCAAACACUUUAGUCACUCGUGAAUAGUAAACGUGUUUGCACGUCACAAAGAAAUACUUCACAAUGUGCUUAACUUGUGUAUGCAAUUUGCUGUGCAAAAUCAUCAGUUUCGCCAUAUCCCUGCUGUUCAUAGUAGGAUUAGUCCUCCUAAUAUUGUGGUUGACAGGAAUCCUCUUCACUAAGGAUGCUGCUCCAACUCAUGCUAACUACGAGUCUCUACGCAGCAUGGUCACUGGUGGAGGAGGAGGUCACUGACAGGAAAACGCAACGGAAAAUAUUAUAAAGUAUACGGUAUACGCGCACACGCCAACAUAGAACCUGGGCCGUUAUUAGUCCUGUCUUAGCAUGGCUCAUUUCGACAACGUUGAUACAAUUUGAAUAUCGAAACUCUAUAACGUCAAAGUAAAAUGGCUGUUUUUUUUUUUUUAAAUUAGUGUUCGCACAUAAGCUACAACCAGCCCACGGGUCCCGAGCGGAAACAUUGUAAGAAGAAAUCUAAAGGUUUCAUAAACAGUUUUGAAACUUUUUGAUCUGCUUCUCUGACUUUAAUAGAGUAACGUCUAACGUUAACUAGAAAAAUUACACAAAAGAGCGGGUUUAAUGUUAUUUUAAACGCUAGAAUGAAAAACACUUAGGUUAUGAUGAGCUUAAUAGAUUUAAUAAUAGUUAAUUUAUAAGUGCGUAUGUGCGUAUGAUGUGUGAACGUCAAAAUGGAUUUCCAAUUUUUAUUUUGUUAAAAAGAUACAAUAGUCAAAUUACAACCCAGGUUGUGUCUUUUUCAAUUAAAUGAUGAUCGCAUACCGGCAAUCGCCUCUUGCGGUACGCAAGACCUGUAAGAAUUGUCUUGUACCACCAUAGCAACGUGAAAUGUGUGAGUACAUAUAGUACAUAUUUCAGUAUUAAAAAUGGUAAUGGUGUCAGCAUACGGAGUCAGAUGUAUUGAGCAAAUUAUCAAAUGGCACCUCAAUGCUCUCUCUAAUAGCUAGUCUUUUGCACGCUUAGCACGCUCUAUGUGACCGAGUCGUGCUAAGCACGAUACUUAUACUUUUCAAAAAUGCUUUUUGCAUUUUUCGUGGUUCUUGUAUCUUUUGCAAUAUCAUGAGGUAUGCGAUUAUAUAAUUUAUCCAGACAUAAUAUUGUGUAUGAAGUUGAAAGUACGAUGGGUAUAAUAUUAUGGCAUUAUCAAUAUCGUGUAACCUAUUUAUUGCCACAUAUAAUUUGACUACCUUCAAGGAACUUCUUGUAGAAACACGGGGUCCUACCUCGACAGUGCUUUUACUACGCAAAAACUUGUCGUCAAGCCAAAUCCUAUCUUUAAUUAUUAUUAUUAUUAUGAGAGUUGCGUGCGGAUCGUCAUAUUGUAAUGUGUAAUUAGCAUGAUGUUGUACUUUAAGUCUGUGAUUGUAAUGAUGUAAACAUAUAAUAUUAGCAAUAUUACUAUUUUUAAGUAGAGAAAACGUACAGUACGAUACGACACAACAAGUAAUAUCGAUGUUUCAUUGCAUAAACUGAUAAUAUGCGUUCUAAAGUAGGUAACUAACAAUAAUUAAUUUAGGAUCGGAAUGCGUAACGAUUAAAUGACCACGGUCGCCUCCUCGAUGCUUUGCCGUGUACAUCAGCUGUCGAGUGCUCGAAUUCGGUCAUUUAACCGCCCGGUGCGUUUCGGCCCUAAUAAAUUUUUCAUUUUAGCGUCUAACGAUGUAACUUCAGUUGUGUCGACGUACAUUGUACGUAGAUUUAAAUUUACUGUAGACUACUAUGUAUUUACAUAUCUUUAGUCCAAAUAAAGUAUUAGAUAUGUUAGAAACAUUAUUCACGUUUUUUCUCGGUAUAAGUGCUCCUGCUGUAACAAUGAAAGAUGAAAAAGAUGAUAAAUAUUUAUUUAACAAUAGGUAUAUCAUGGUUUGGUGCCAUGACGAUACUAUGUAACUUGUCGGGCAUCUAAUAUGUAAUCAUAACCCAAAACUAUUAGCGUACCUAAUUGGGCAUACUCCGAUAAAAAAGAUGAGUAACAGCCAUGUUUCUUAACACAAUAGUUAAUUAAUUUUUCUAUUACGAGUAGGUACCACUUACAAUAAAUUAUGUGAGUUGCUAUUAUCUCUACUCUAUUCAAAUUAAAUACUUAUUUUUGCAUAAAUUUAUAGUAGGUACCUUAUUAAACAGUAUUAGUUAUAUUUUGUGAAUGUAUUGUAAAUAUUUUUAAUAAAUUAAGUUAUUUUUCAU